GAAUUUACCUGGCAGGGGAGACACCAUGAUCAGAAAGGUGGUUCCCCCACAGCUAGGCCCGCCAUUGCACUCAGGCCAUGGAAUGACCCGUGCUUAUUCCACAAAUGUGGGAAUCUUGACCGCAUAAUUUCUGCCACGUCUACAUUUUUUUGGGCGGCAGUAGCU